rnacentral:tRNA from 1 species
UCCCUGGUGGUCCAGUGGUUAAGACUCUGUGCUCCUAAUACAGGGGCCACUGGUUCCAUUCCUGGUCGGGGAA